rnacentral:lncRNA from 1 species
AGAGUAACAAUAAUGUUUUUUGCACCUGGAUUCCUGCACUAUAAUUUUAUUACAAGGGAUUUAAAGAGAAGAUUUUUAUGUAAGUAAACCAAGAUAAUUUAAAAAAAAAAAAAAAAAAAAAAGAAAGAAAAAAAUGUUUUCAUCCUUGUUUCAUAAUAUUCUGACAGAAAUGCUGCUGCUGCUGAAGGGAAGUACUCACUUCCUUCCCUUCUCCCCUCCCCUGAUAACAUAAUAAUGAUAUACUGGGGAACUGGGGACAUACAUUGAAGGAGCAGUUUCUGGCCUUGAAAAGAUACCCUUUGUUUUCAUGCAGACGGAUUUGUAGAAACACACAUUCUUUCACAAAGAUCAAGAUGUCUCACUAUAAAAAAUCAUCUAAGGACUACAAGGAUAAACCUGAGGAAGGACCUGGCUCAAGGGAAGAAUAUUUUAAAGAAGA